GAUGAACGCUGGCGGCGUGCCUAAUACAUGCAAGUCGAGCGAACAGACGAGGAGCUUGCUCCUCUGACGUUAGCGGCGGACGGGUGAGUAACACGUGGAUAACCUACCUAUAAGACUGGGAUAACUUCGGGAAACCGGAGCUAAUACCGGAUAAUAUAUUGAACCGCAUGGUUCAAUAGUGAAAGACGGUUUUGCUGUCACUUAUAGCUGGAUCCGCGCCGCAUUAGCUAGUUGGUAAGGUAACGGCUUACCAAGGCAACGAUGCGUAGCCGACCUGAGAGGGUGAUCGGCCACACUGGAACUGAGACCCGGUCCAGACUCCUACGGGAGGCAGCAGUAGGGAAUCUUCCGCAAUGGGCGAAAGCUUGACGGAGCAACGCCGCGUGAGUGAUGAAGGUCUUCGGAUCGUAAAACUCUGUUAUUAGGGAAGAACGAAUGUGUAAGUAACUAUGCACGUCUUGACGGUACCUAAUCAGAAAGCCACGGCUAACUACGUG
rnacentral:rRNA from 1 species